rnacentral:rRNA from 1 species
CCUAGGGGGGGCUGCAGUGGGGAAUAUUGGGCAAUGGGCGCAAGCCUGACCCAGCAACGCCGCGUGAAGGAAGAAGGCUUUCGGGUUGUAAACUUCUUUUCUCAGGGACGAAGAACGUGACGGUACCUGAGGAAUAAGCCACGGCUACCUACGUGCCAGCAGCCGCGGUAAGACGUAGGUGGCAAGCGUUAUCCGGAUUUCUUGGGGGUAAAGGGCGUGUAGGCGGGGGCGCAAGUCAGAUUUGACAACUCAGGGCUCAACCCUGAGCCUGCAUUUGAAACUGUGUUUCUGGAGUGCUGGAGAGGCAAUCGGAAUUCCGGGUGUAGCGGUGAAAUGCGUAGAUAUACGGAGGAACACCAGUGGCGAAGGCGGAUUGCUGGACAGUAACUGACGCUGAGGCGCGAACGCGUGGGGAGCAAACAGGAUUAGAUACCCUAGUAGUC